rnacentral:rRNA from 1 species
GAUUAACGCUGGCGGCGUGCCUAAUACAUGCAAGUCGAGCGAAUGGAUUAAGAGCUUGCUCUUAUGAAGUUAGCGGCGGACGGGUGAGUAACACGUGGGUAACCUGCCCAUAAGACUGGGAUAACUCCGGGAAACCGGGGCUAAUACCGGAUAAUAUUUUGAACUGCAUGGUUCAAAAUUGAAAGGCGGCUUCGGCUGUCACUUAUGGAUGGACCCGCGUCGCAUUAGCUAGUUGGUGAGGUAACGGCUCACCAAGGCAACGAUGCGUAGCCGACCUGGGAGGGUGGUCGGCCAAACUGGGACUGAGACACGGCCCAGACUCCUACGGGAGGCAGCAGUAGGGAAUCUUCCGCAAUGGACGAAAGUCUGACGGAGCAACGCCGCGUGAGUGAUGAAGGCUUUCGGGUCGUAAAACUCUGUUGUUAGGGAAGAACAAGUGCUAGUUGAAUAAGCUGGCACCUUGACGGUACCUAACCAGAAAGCCACGGCUAACUACGUGCCAGCAGCCGCCGUAA